rnacentral:rRNA from 1 species
CCGUAAACGCUUUAAAGUGCCCCGCCUCGGGGGAGUUACGGCCGCAGGGGCUAAAACUCAAAGGAAUUGACGGGGGCCCGCACAAGCGGCGGAGCACUGCGGAUUAAUUUCGAUUCGCAAACGCGAAGAACCGUUACCAAGGCUUGACAUGCGACCCCGGCGCGCGGAGACGCGCGCGCAUUUGGUUCGGGGGUGUGCCAAGGUCGGUGCCAUGGUUGUACGUCUAGCCUCGGUGUCGUGACGAUGUUCGGGUUAAGUCCCGCAACGAGCGCAACCCUUGCCCUAUGUUUGCCAGCGCGUUCGUGGCGGGGACUCGUGGGGGACCUGCCGGGGUUAACUCGGAGGAAGGUGGGGAUGACCGUCAAAUCAGUCAUGCCCCCUUAGUGUCUUCGGGCUUUCACCGCAGUGCUACCAAUGGCCGGUACAGAGGGUUGCGAUGCCGUGAGGACGGGGCGAAAUCCCUUUAAAGCCGGUCUCAGUUCGGAUUGGGGUCUGCCAACUCGACCCCAUGAAGGUGGAGUCGCUAGUAAUCGCAGAUCAGCAACGCUGCGGUGAAUACCGUUCUCGGGUCGACGCGGCCG